CACACCCCUCUGGACCUGAUGGUACACAGUGUUACAAGGAACAAUAACCAAUAAGAACAAAGUGCAUCUUUUCAAACCCUCCCCUCUAUCCUGGAGAUAAUUAGCUUAAAUGGUUACAGUAACUUAAUUAUCUCCAGGUACAGGCAAUAUUCUGGUUUUGCAAUUACACUAAAACCUACAUAAAAAUCCAUAACUCAUAAAGUAUAUUAUUUAACUUAUACAUUCAACAUAC